GACGAACGUUGGCGGCGUGCUUAAUACAUGCAAGUCAACUGAAGCAGUGGUAGCAAUAUCGCUGUGGAGGUGGCGCACGGGUGAGUAACACGUAGGUAAUCUGCCUUCAGGUCUGGCAUAACUCCGGGAAACCGGGGCUAAUAGCAGAUGAUGCAGCGGCUCGACAUCGAGACAGUUGUUAAAGCUAUGGCGCCUGAAGAUGAGCCUGCGUCUGAUUAGCUAGUUGGCGGGGUAACGGCCCACCAAGGCAACGAUCAGUAGCUGGUCUGAGAGGAUGAUCAGCCACACUGGAACUGAGACACGGUCCAGACUCCUACGGGAGGCAGCAGUAAGGAAUAUUGCUCAAUGGGAGAAAUACUGAAGCAGCAACGCCGCGUGAGGGACGAAGGGCGUUUGCUUGUAAACCUCUGUAGUGAGAGAAAAAAAUCCCAAUCUUUGGGACAUGAUGGUAUCUCAAAAGUAAGCCCCGGCUAACUACGUG
rnacentral:rRNA from 1 species